rnacentral:rRNA from 1 species
GAUGAACGCUGGCGGCGUGCCUAAUACAUGCAAGUCGAGCGAACGGACGAGAAUCUUGCUUCUCUGAUGUUAGCGGCGGACGGGUGAGUAACACGUGGAUCACCUACCUAUAAGACUGGGAUAACUUCUGGAAACCGGAGCUAAUACCGGAUAAUAUUUUGAACCGCAUGGUUCAAAAGUGAAAGACGGUCUUGCUUUCACUUAUAGAUGGAUCCGCGCUGCAUUAUCUAGUUGGUAAGGUAACGGCUUACCAAGGCAACGAUGCAUAGCCGACCUGAGAGGGUGAUCGGCCACACUGGAACUGAGACACGGUCCAGACUCCUACGGGAGGCAGCAGUAGGGAAUCUUCCGCAAUGGGCGAAAGCCUGACGGAGCAACGCCGCGUGAGUGAUGAAGGUCUUCGGAUCGUAAAACUCUGUUAUUAGGGAAGAACAUAUGUGUAAGUAACUGUGCACAUCUUGACGGUACCUAAUCAGAAAGCCACGGCUAACUACGUG